rnacentral:rRNA from 1 species
AUUGAACGCUGGCGGCAGGCCUAACACAUGCAAGUCGAACGAGUGGCGGACGGGUGAGUAAUGUCUGGGAAACUGCCUGAUGGAGGGGGAUAACUACUGGAAAAGGUAGCUAAUAACGCAUACCAUCGGAUGUGCCCAGAUGGGAUUAGCUAGUAGGUGGGGUAAAGGCUCACCUAGGCGACGAUCCCUCGCUGGUCUGAGCGGAUGACCAGCCACACUGGAACUGAGCCACGGUCAAGACUCCUACGGGAGGAAGCAGUGGGGAAUAUUGCACAAUGGGCGCAAGCCGGAUGAAGCCAUGCCGCGUGGAUGAAGAAGGCCUUCGGGUUUUAAAGUACUUUCAGCGGGGAGGCGUUACCCGCAGAAGAAGCACCGGCUAACUCCGUGCCAGCAGCCGCGGUAAUAC